rnacentral:tRNA from 1 species
GGGGCUGUGGCUCAGUGGUAGAGUAUCUGCUUGGUAUGCAGAAGCUUAAAGGUUCGAUCCCUGACAACCCUA